CACCAGGCUUAAGUCAAGUAUCCACCGACACGUUUAGAGGGUGUUGAUGCUCGUACAAGUCUGGAAAAUUUAAUUGUGUCCUUCGUUACAGAUGCUUUAUUGCUUGAACGCUUGCAUCUGCUCCAUAUGGACUCUAUAUAA